rnacentral:rRNA from 1 species
AUACAGAGGUGGCGAGCGUUGUUCGGAUUUACUGGGCGUAAAGGGCGCGUAGGCGGCCGCGUGUGUGGGGUGUGAAAUCCCCGGGCUCAACCCGGGAACUGCAUUCCAAACUGGGUUACUUGAGUGCAGGAGAGGAAAGCGGAAUUCCUAGUGUAGCGGUGAAAUGCGUAGAUAUUAGGAAGAACACCAGUGGCGAAGGCGGCUUUCUGGACUGUAACUGACACUGAGGCAUGAAAGCGUGGGGAGC